CGAGCUCCCUCGCCCUCGCCCUCUUGUUCUCUCGCGCUCCCGCGCCCUCACUCGCUCUUCAACAGCACCCGCUCUUCAGCAGCCGCUGCCUCCAUCGCCUCUCCUUUUGCGUUCCUAAGCAUGAGGCCUCUUCCUCUUCAAAGGUAAUCAGCAAGAUGAGAUCGUUAAUGACCGAAAAUUCGAGGUGAUCUUAGAAAACAUCCAAUACCAACAAAACCAGUGUUCAAAUAUUGUUUUCGUGCAUUACAUCAGUGCCUUGGGCUAUCCAAUAUGAUACAUUUUGCUGCUUUGCUCAAUGUGCUCAUCUAGACUUAAAGAAAAGCUCCCUGACGUGAAAUCUGACUAUCAAAUUCUCUGCCAGCAGGCCUUGUUGAAUUCAACUGUAAAACACAUAUCAGAGCAUUUAGCAAUUCCAAAAACUAAGAAUAUGGAGAAUGGUCACCAUAAGACUGAAGAACUUAACUUGAAUAGCCCUCUGUGAUAGAGUGCUGGAGUGCAAGCAAUUAAUGAAAUCGUGCAUACACUUUUGCAUGCUAAUUACCUGGUGGAUCAACUUGUAACGAAACAUUCAUCAAUUGUGGAGUAUCCAACAUGAGAUCACAUCAACCAUUCCUAGUGUUGGAUUACUGGUCAGACAUUAAGGCUUCUUUGCCUUGACUCUUCUGUAGUUUGAUCAUAAUCCAGCAAAAGGUUUGAGCUUGGUAAUCUUAUAUAUCUGUUGCCAUUUUUGUAGUUCUACAAGAAUACAAUCAUUACCCAGGAAAUCUGAAUUAUCGGUCAGCAGUUUCUUUUUCCUGAAGUUAGGUCCAUUUGCUGAGGGUGCUUUGGUCCUUUAAUGCGAUAUUUGUGCUAUUUCUUUUCUCACAGGCAUUCUUAUCUAGAGUGUUAACAAUAGUUCUUGUUGGUUGCAGCUGUAAAGAAAAUGCAAGAACUGACUGAGCAGGUGAAAGAUUUAUCUAGGAACUUCGAGGCUUGUUGGUUGAUGGCAAUUCACGAGUAGAACAAUUAUAAUUAUAUGGAGCUCUUUCUGCUCAUAUGUGGUUGGGGAUGAUUUGCAAGGAGUAGAGAUGAACUUUUCUUUGUUUCUAUCUUAUCUUAUAUAUAUAUAUAUAUUUUUUAUUAUUUUUUUGUUUCUCUUUUUGGUUUUUUGUUUUUAUUUUUUAAAGUUCUUUCUACCCUUCCAAUAGAAUUGUGUAACCAUAUGUGAGAGACAUGCCCUCGUCAGAGCUUGUAAGACAGAAUAAUCUCUCGUUAUGCACGUAAUUAAGUGUGAUGUAUUUAUUAUAUUAUUCUUUAUCUGUUUUAGUUUAGAUGGGCAGAUGGAUUUGGAAGUCAUGAAGUCUUUAUUUU